GAUGAAGAACGUAGCGAAAUGCGAUAAGUAAUGUGAAUUGCAGAAUUCAGUGAAUCAUCGAAUCUUUGAACGCACAUUGCGCCCGCCAGUAUUCUGGCGGGCAUGCCUGUUCGAGCGUCAUUUCAACCCUCAAGCCCCCGGGCUUGGUGUUGGGGAUCGGCGUGCCCUCGCGGCGCGCCGUCCCCUAAAUCUAGUGGCGGUCUCGCUGUAGCUUCCUCUGCGUAGUAGCAACACUCGCACUGGAUCGCAGCGCGGCCACGCCGUUAAACCCCCCACUUCUGAAAGUUUGACCUCGGAUCAGGUAGGACUACCCGCUGAACUUAAGCAUAUCAAUAAGCGGAGGA
rnacentral:misc_RNA from 1 species